AGAUUCGUCACGCGAUCAUAUGGACAUUACAACAAUACGGACGAGUACAAUUAAAGGCGCCGCAGCAAACUGAGAGAGAGGAAGUUUUAGUUUUCUAUUCCGUUUACAAUGAUAUUUGAAUCAAACGAUCGUAGACCAACUCAGAGGAGGAGACUGCAGUGAUGAGGUUGUACUGAAGGAAAAAUUACCACCUCUCCUUCAACUUGAAGAUUUGAUUCGCGAAAAUCGAUGUUUACACCUUCGCACAGUCCCAUAAAUCGAAAUGUGGAUCCAUUAUGAACACGAAACUUAUAUGGUCGGAUUUUAAAGUGUGAUGAAAUAUUUUAUAUACAGACACACGUAAGUGGGGGAUGGUGAACUGGUUUCUAUGUGUUAUUUAUUCAGUAUCAUUCUUCCCUCAACGUGCUGCUAAGAGGUCACUUCGUUGAGGCACGACUCGAUUACCCCACAUCAAGACAACAGAGUAUGGAAAAAAAAUUUCGUUGGCGCAUUUCUUCAUUGAAUUUAGGAUUGGUAUUGCACGAGCGAACAGGAUGUUUCAUUUUCAGCCUUUGGAAUGGUUGCAAAGCCGCAGUACUUUAAUUUUUUGUUUCCUUAUUUCAGUUCAGGUGAAAAGGUCCUCGCAUUUCGACCGUGCAUCAAGAGAGAAGGAUAUACGGAUUCCAGGACGUCCUCGGUAUGUUUUCUGCCUAUCUUUGCGUGUGAAUCAAUCUACUCGAAAACGACACGAUUCGAUACAAAAAAUGUUUGCCACAACUUUGAUCGAUUUUUAGUGUUUCCAAUUUGAAUAGCCUUACAGUUGAAGUUUAAAUGCCAAGAUCAAUAAUGGAGUAUGAUGCGCUAGAGAAAAUGAGAAAAGUGCGUACAAGAGUAAAGCUAGCCUAAUUUAAUCGGCAAAUUCAAAUUCCUGUGGUCAAAAUAUAUUGGGAAACAGUCGGUUAAAUGAUGAUAAAGAUAUUCAACCUCAGGCUCCCUAAACCGCAAAAGUUCGUUGUUUUUUUUUUUCCUGAGACCAAAAUUUUCGCUUCUUUGAUUGAUUUUCCGUACGCCUACGUAUGUCGAGUUUAGAAUCCGAAUCUGCUGACUCAAUUAAUUUAUCAAUCAGACUGUUCAAUCUAUGGCUGAUUUCCCGCUGUGCCGAGCAGAAAAAUUAGGAUAUUCUAUAGCUUUUAGUAGUAGCUCAAUUAAAUCAGCUGAUUCCCAUUUCUAGAGUCAUACUACAUGAAAAUGCGACGAUCCAGUCGUCAAAAAGUGUUUGUGAUCGUACUUGCAAAUUGGCAGAAUAUCGAUAUCUAUAGGCUAAUCACCUAUUCCUCAUCGAACUUGGCGUGAUCCGAAACAUCUCUUGUAUCGAAUUUACCGCUCAUUUAUUCGACCUAUCUAGAUUUUACAAAAGUUCGUUACAUUAUACAUGACUACUGAUAUUAAUAUGCACACACUGGAUUAAAAAAUUGAAUAAAAGUACAAUUUUAAUGUGAAA
rnacentral:lncRNA from 1 species